rnacentral:tRNA from 1 species
AGAAAGAAACAUGUAGGUUAAUGUGACUGGCUUGAAACUAGUUUUAGGGGGUUCGAUUCCUUCCUUUCUUG